rnacentral:hammerhead_ribozyme from 1 species
AUCCAGGUGACGAGUCCAGGAUAGGACAAAAUGCGCGUCCUAGAU